UACGUAGGGUGCAAGCGUUUGUCCGGAAUUAUUGGGCGUAAAGAGCUCGUAGGCGGUUUGUCGCGUCGAAUGUGAAAACCCGGGGCUCAACCCCGGGCCUGCAUUCGAUACGGGCAGACUAGAGUUCGGUAGGGGAGUCUGGAAUUCCUGGUGUAGCGGUGAAAUGCGCAGAUAUCAGGAGGAACACCGAUGGCGAAGGCAGAUCUCUGGGCCGUAAACUGACGCUGAGGAGCGAAAGCAUGGGGAGCGAACAGG
rnacentral:rRNA from 1 species